UUGGUCGGUUUCUUUUCCUUAUUCUCUUUCUUCUUCUUUCAUUUUUUUUCUGCUUGGCAGAGCAAUUGGAAUGCCCAAUUAUCUGCCGUUCGCGAUGCCGCCGCCACCGGAGUCAACGCCUCUACCGCGCGAGUUUACGGACUAAAAUUGAUCUCCUACUUUGAUUCAAGUAUAUGAGUUUUGGAGGUGGGUUUGUUAUGUGAAGUGAGGAAAUGGCGAAAAGGGUCGGAGAUGAGACUGCUGAAACGGAGUUGGAGACUGAGACCUAACAUCAAUACGCCGUUCAUGUUUUUCUCCGGUCAGCUGCACUGUUAUUCUUUCUUUAAAUUUAGAAUUUUCCUUUUUUAUUAUGAACUACUUGUAUUAAUGUAUUUUUGUUGCUGAACAAUAUGUCGGUUAUUGAGAAAUAUUACCACUGAUUUGUACAUUGAAAUUUUUUUUUACAUAUUUUAAGAAAUUGAUUUUGGCAAGUUGUAGUA